UUGAAUGGCCGCAGUAUUUUGACUGUGCUAAGGUAGCAUAAUCAUUAGUUUUUUAAUUGAAAGCUGGUAUGAAGGGUUGGAUGAAAAAAAAACUGUCUCUAUUUAAUUUUUAUAGAAUUUUAUUUUUUAGUUAAAAAGCUAAAAUUUUAUUAAAAGACGAGAAGACCCUAUAGAGUUUUAUAUUUAUAUAUAUUAAUUUAAUUUUUUAAUAUAAUAUUUAUUUUAUUGGGGUGAUAGAAAAAUUUGAUAAACUUUUUUUUUAUUUUUAUAUUUAUAGAUAAUUAUUUGAUCCGAAUUAUUGAUUAAAAGAAAAAAUUACCUUAGGGAUAACAGCGUAAUUUUAUUGGAGAGUU
rnacentral:rRNA from 1 species